rnacentral:rRNA from 1 species
GAUGAACGCUGGCGGCGUGCCUAAUACAUGCAAGUCGAGCGAACGGACGAGAGGCUUGCUUCUCUGAUGUUAGCGGCGGACGGGUGAGUAACAUGUGGAUACCCUACCUAUAAGACUGGUAUAACUUCGGGACACCGGAGCUAAUAGCGGAUAAUAUUUUGAACCGCAUGGUUCAAAAGUGAAAGACGGUCUUGCUGUCACUUCUCGAUGGAUCCGCGCUGCAUUAGCUAGUUGGUAAGGUAACGGCUUACCAAGGCAACGAUGCAUAGCCGACCUGAGAGGGUGAUCGGCCACACUGGAACUGAGACACGGUCCAGACUCCUACGGGAGGCAGCAGUAGGGAAUCUUCCGCAGUGGGCGAAAGCCUGACGGAGCAACGCCGCGUGAGUGAUGAAGGUCUUCGGAUCGUAAAACUCUGUUAUGAGGGAAGAACAUAUGUGUAAGUAACUGUGCACAUCUUGACGGUACCUAAUCAGAAAGCCACGGCUAACUACGUG